ensembl:lncRNA
UCUGCAGUGGAAGCCUGGAGUCCUAACCACUGGACUGCCAGGGAAGUCCCAUAGAAAAAAAUUGUUUUAAAAAAGAGGUACAGCUAGAGUACCUCUAUGGGGGAGCUGCAAGGCAGAAAGCUUAGAGUUGAUAUGGGCAUCUGGACACAUCCACCAACUGGGACAGGAGACCAGCAGGACAAGGACAAAGGGACUAACUAGACAGGGGCAGGUCUAGGGGAAGCAGACACAGCUUCUUAGAGGAGGUGGGUAUGGAUGGCCUUUAGGAAAGGAGGAUUGGAGGGGCAGAUAGAGGUCCUGGGGGCUCCUGGGGCCCCCAGGAGCCCUGCUGUCAGCCCCCCUCUAGCUGUGCCAUCCACAUCGCAUGCUCAGGCUGGGACCAGGCCCCCGUGGCCAAAAAGAAGCCAGGCAGAGACUCCGUGGAAUUGGCCGUAGGGAUAAUGGAAACAGAAUUCUUUCCUUCCCUCUAGGGCUGUGUAGGAAUCUGGGGUAAAGGUCCUUCUCUGAGCUCUCUAAGCGCAUACUAAGACUCGGGUAGGAAGCCAUCCUGCAUGUUCCCUGCCCCAAGGAGCUUCUGUAGUGCAGUGUAGCCAAGGAGGGGGCCCUAAUGGAGAUAUAAACACUGCUAGGGUCAGGCCACUGGUGGCUUGCAGCUCAGGCUCUGGAUCCAAACAACCAGAACCUAAACUCCGCCUCUGUCCCUUUCCAGCUGUGUGACUUUGGGCCUGCUACCUGACCUCUCUGUGCUUCAGUUUCUUGUCCAUAACGUGGGGAUGAUAAUAGUAAAGUACUUGAUACUCGUGGUUGUUGUGAGGGUUAAAUGAGACACAGGGCCUUGCCUGUGCCUGGGACAUGAAAAGUGAAAGAAGUCCCUCAGUCAUGACUCAGUCCGACUCUUUGCAAUCCCAUGGACUGUAAGCCUAUCAGGCUCCUCCGUCCAUGGGAUUUUCCAGGCAAGAGUGCUGGAGUAGAUUGCCAUUUCCUUCUCCAGAGGAUCUUCCUGACCCAGGAAUUGAACCCGGGUCUCCUGCAUUGCAGGCAGAUGCUUUACCGUCUGAGCCACGAGGGAAGCCCCUGGGACAUGUCACACAAAGCUGGCUUUGGGCCGAAGGACCUGCAGUGCCGGCCUUAUGAAAAGGCUCCUAGAAGAAACAACAGGUAAGGCUGGUACUCCUGGUUCCUAGAAUUGUCCCCACCCUCUGGGAGACAGUGAAGCCCCCGAAUUUCUCCUAGCCCCUUUGUCCCUCAAGCUCCAAGCCCCACUGGGUUGUAUUCCCCGGAGUCUACCCCUGCAGCCCUGGGCAGGCUCCCUUCUGUGAUGAGUUCUUGGGGGCUGCCCUGACCAGACAGAAAGGGAGCCCCACCCCACUUCUAGUACCCUCUCUGGGUCCCCUGUUUGGUCUGAAACUUGGCCAGGAUGUGCUACCUCUCAGGGCAUGGGUGUCUUAGUCUGUAAAGUGGUUUCGGAACUUUUUUUUUUUUUAAAUAAACACUCUUUUAGAGAAUCGAAACA